GAGCUAUACAGCUAGCUUACCCAAUGGUAAAACUCACAACAUUUUNCCCAAAACAAAACCCCAAAACAUUAAAACAAAACAUUUUACCGCCUAAGUACGGGUGACGGAAAAGG
rnacentral:rRNA from 1 species